AUAUGCUUGGAGAAUGUGUGAUAUGAUAGUAGUUCAAACUAGAAUGCGUUUCGUCCUAACGAACUGACGUAGUAAAAAGUAGUCCAAUUUGGCAGCGCCACCUGCACGUGCGCCAUGUUCUGACCUGAGCAGCUGAGCUAAUCACCGACCAACUGAGACCAACUGAAACGAAGCCGAUACGGAACGUAAACUGUGAUUCUGAAAAAAGUAUAAAGGCGACCAACGCAGGAACCCAGAACGAGAAAAGACGACAGGGGGAAGAUUUUCAUCAGUAUUCGAAAAAUACGAAAAAGCCCGCCCCCUCGCGGCCGAUAAAGAAAGUUUUUUUGGACGACCCACCAAUCAGCGACGAGGACGAGGACGACGACGGAGAAGCCCAAAGCGUCGGAUCGAACCCCCGUCAAACCAACGCUUAUAUUACUUGCUUUCAUUGAAUUAAACAAACCAUUUAUUCUUGUGAUUUUUAUAUUAAAAUAAUGCCAUUUGUUAUUGUCAACUUAUUGCUUUCAAUGAUAUCUUUUUAUAAUCCAUUUGCUGUCAGUGUUAUGAGUUUAUUGAAAUA